rnacentral:tRNA from 1 species
AGUUCCAUAGUGUAGCGUUAGCACAUCUGCUUUACACGCAAAAGGUCCUGGGUUCGCGCCCCAGUGGAGCCA